UUAUCUCUGUAGAGUCUGCAUAUCAAUAAGCGGAGGAAAAGAAACUAACUAGGAUUCCCUCAGUAACGGCGAGUGAAGCGGGAAGAGCUCAAAUUUGAAAUCUUCAAGGUUUUACCUUGACGAAUUGUAGUUUAAAGAAGUGUUUUCUGUUGGAGUUUUGGUAAAAGUUCUUUGGAAUAGGACAUCAUAGAGGGUGAGAAUCCCGUAUUUGACCAUUUACUUCCAGCUGUGUGAUACACUUUCAAAGAGUCGGAUUGUUUGGGAAUGCAGUCCAAAAUGGGUGGUAAAUUUCAUCUAAAGCUAAAUAUUGGCGAGAGACCGAUAGCGAACAAGUACCGUGAGGGAAAGAUGAAAAGAACUUUGAAAAGAGAGUUAAACAGUACGUGAAAUUGUCAAAAGGGAAGCGUUUGACACCAGUGUUGUUUUCUCGAAAAUCAAUUAAAAAUGGCCUGAUUUUGUGUUGUAUUGACCUUAUCAAGCUUUCUUCACUUUUUUCAUUGUCUUUUUUAAUGCACUUUUCGUUUAACAAGUCAACAUCAAUUUCUUUUGUUGUAAAAGAGUCAUUGGAAGGUGGCUUUCACUUCGGUGAAAGUGUUUAUAGCCUUUGGCUUCUGCAAUCGGAGAGAUUGAGGUCUGCAGCGUAGAUCCUUCGGGGCUAGAUACAUUUGUGCUAAGUUAUAGUUUUUCAUAGACAACAUGUUGACUAUGAUUAAUCUUGUAGCUUACUCGCUUAUGCUAUUUUACCUACGCUUAGGAUGUUGAAUCUGUGCGAGACUAC
rnacentral:rRNA from 1 species